rnacentral:rRNA from 1 species
GACGAACGCUGGCGGCGUGCUUAACACAUGCAAGUCGAACGGAAAGGCCCUGCUUUUGUGGGGUGCUCGAGUGGCGAACGGGUGAGUAACACGUGAGUAACCUGCCCUUGACUUUGGGAUAACUUCAGGAAACUGGGGCUAAUACCGGAUAGGAGCUCCUGCUGCAUGGUGGGGGUUGGAAAGUUUCGGCGGUUGGGGAUGGACUCGCGGCUUAUCAGCUUGUUGGUGUGGUAGUGGCUUACUAAGGCGUUGACGGGUAGCCGGCCUGAGAGGGUGACCGGCCACAUUGGGCCUGAGAUACGACCCAGACUCCUACGGGAGGCAGCGGUGGGAAACAUUGCACAAUGGGCGGAAGCCUGAUGCAGCAACGCCGCGUGCGGGAUGACGGCUUUCGGGUCGUAAACCGCUUUCGCCUGUGACGAAGCGUGAGUGACGGUAAUGGGUAAAGAAGCACCGGCUAACUACGUG